rnacentral:rRNA from 1 species
CUUACACAUGCAAGUCGAACGCGAAAGGGGGGCAACCCCCGAGUAGAGUGGCGAACGGGUGAGUAAUACAUCGGAACGUACCCAGUAGCGGGGGAUAACCUCUCGAAAGAGAGGCUAAUACCGCAUACGACCUACGGGUGAAAGAGGGGGAUCGCAAGACCUCUCACUAUUGGAGCGGCCGAUGUCGGAUUAGCUAGUUGGUGGGGUAAUGGCCUACCAAGGCGACGAUCCGUAGCUGGUCUGAGAGGACGGCCAGCCACACUGGAACUGAGACACGGUCCAGACUCCUACGGGAGGCAGCAGUGGGGAAUUUUGGACAAUGGGCGAAAGCCUGAUCCAGCCAUGCCGCGUGAGUGAAGAAGGCCUUCGGGUUGUAAAGCUCUUUCGGCUGGGACGAAAAGGUUCGUGCUAACACCACGGAUCCAUGACGGUACCAGCAGAAGAAGCACCGGCUAACUACGUGCCAGCAGCCGCGGUAAUACGUAGGGUGCAGGCGUUAAUCGGAAUUACUGGGCGUAAAGCGUGCGCAGGCGGUUUGCUAAGACAGGUGUGAAAUCCCCGGGCUUAACCUGGGAACUGCGCUUGUAACUGGCAAGCUAGAGUGUGGCAGAGGGGGGUGGAAUUCCACGUGUAGCAGUGAAAUGCGUAGAGAUGUGGAGGAACACCGAUGGCGAAGGCAGCCCCCUGGGCUAACACUGACGCUCAUGCACGAAAGCGUGGGGAGCAAACAGGAUUAGAUACCCUGGUAGUCCACGCCCUAAACUAUGUCAACUGGUUGUCGGGGAAGCAAUUCCUUGGUAACGAAGCUAACGCGUGAAGUUGACCGCCUGGGGAGUACGGCCGCAAGGUUAAACUC